rnacentral:rRNA from 1 species
AACGUAGGUGGCAAGCGUUAUCCGGAUUUACUGGGCGUAAAGCGUGUGCAGGCGGGUGGACAAGUCGGGUAUGAAAUGGCUCGACUCAACCGGGCGAGGGUAUGCCAGACUGUUCUUCUAGAGUGCGAGAGAGGGGCAUGGAAUUCCGGGUGUAGUGGUGAAAUGCGUAGAGAUCCGGAGGAACCCCAGAGGCGAAGGCGGUGCCCUGGCUCGCAACUGACGCUCAGACACGACAGCCAGGGGAGCGAAAGGG